UAAAAACCCCGACUUCGGAAGGGGUGUAUUUAUUAGAUACAAAACCAAUGCCCUUCGGGGCUCUUUGGUGAUUCAUGAUAACUAUACGAAUCGCACGGCCUUGCGCCGGCGAUGGUUCAUUCAAAUUUCUUCCCUAUCAACUUUCGAUGUUUGGGUAUUGGCCAAACAUGGUUGCAACGGGUAACGGAGGGUUAGGGCUCGACCCCGGAGAAGGAGCCUGAGAAACGGCUACUACAUCCAAGGAAGGCAGCAGGCGCGCAAAUUACCCAAUCCCGACUCGGGGAGGUAGUGACAAUAAAUACUGAUACAGGGCCCUUUCGGGCCUUGUAAUUGGAAUGAGUACAAUUUAAAUCCCUUAACGAGGAACAAUUGGAGGGCAAGUCUGGUGCCAGCAGCCGCGGUAAUUCCAGCUCCAAUAGCGUAUAUUAAAGUUGUCGUGGUUAAAAAGCUCGUAGUUGAACCUUGGGCCUGGCUGGCCGGUCCGCCUCACCGCGUGCACUGGUCCGGCCGGGCCUUUCCCUCUGUGGAACCCCAUACCCUUCACUGGGCGUGGCGGGGAAACAGGACAUUUACUUU
rnacentral:rRNA from 1 species